AUUGAACGCUGGCGGCAGGCCUAACACAUGCAAGUCGAGCGGAUGAGAGGAGCUUGCUUCUCGAUUCAGCGGCGGACGGGUGAGUAAUGCCUAGGAAUCUGCCUGGUAGUGGGGGACAACGUUUCGAAAGGAACGCUAAUACCGCAUACGUCCUACGGGAGAAAGCAGGGGAACUUCGGGCCUUGCGCUAUCAGAUGAGCCUCGGUCGGAUUAGCUAGUUGGUGAGGUAAUGGCUCACCAAGGCGACGAUCCGUAACUGGUCUGAGAGGAUGAUCAGUCACACUUGAGCUGAGACAUGGUCCAGACUCCGACGGGAGACAGCAUGGGGGAAUAUUGGACGAUGGGCGAAAGCCUGGUCCAGCCAUGCGGCGUGUGUGAAGAAGGUCUUCGAAUUGUAAAGCACUUUAAGUUGGGAGGAAGGGUUGUAGAUUAAUACUCUGCAAUUUUGACGUUACCGACAGAAUAAGCACCGGCUAACUCUGUGCCAGCCGCCGCCGUAAUAC
rnacentral:rRNA from 1 species